AAAAAAAAGAAAUUACAUUCGCUUUAAGAAGUUUAGGUAUCUCGGAUAGGAGGCUAAGGUAAUCCCUUAGCUAGGCUUAAUAUCCGUAGUCGAGACUGAAAGGUCGAUCGACCACAGUGUGGCCUGAACAAAGCCCAGGGUAUUUACUACAGCAGUGAGGAAUCUUGGUCAAUAGCCUAACGGCUGAACCAGCAACUUGGAGGAAUGUAUAGCGAAAGCUGGUUGUAUUAACUWAGGCUUAAUACAGGAUCGACUACGUCGAAUAAAAUUCUAGGUAGAGUUUUGAUAAUGACAUAUUCUACCUAUGUGUCUUGACCAAAUCACGUGCCAGCAGUCGCGGUAAUACGUGGAAGACUAGUGUUAUUCAUGUUAAAUAGGUUUAAAGGGUACUUAGACGGUAUAUUAAGCCCCAAAAGGGAACUAAUAAGACUAGAGUUUUAUGUGAGGGGGGGAGUAUUAAUGGAGUAGAGAUGAAAUUCUGUCAUACCAAGAAGAACAGGCGACGGCGAAAGCAACCCUUUAUGUAAAAACUGACGUUGAAGGACGAAGGCUCGUUACACCAACAGGAUUAGAUACCCCAGCAGUUUGAGCAGACAAUGAUGAAUGUCAUAGAUUAGAGAUAGUCUUAUUCUAUAAAUAUAGAUUAGAUAACCUUUUGUCUAUAAAUGAAAGUGUAAGCAUUCCACCUCAAGAGUAAUGCGGCAACGCAGAAACUGAAAUCAUUAGACCGUUUCUGAAACCAGUAGUGAAGUAUGUUGUUUAAUUCGUAGUUACGCGAAAAACCUUACCACAAUUUGAAUAUUUYUAUAUUUAUAUGUAUAUUAAUACAAGCGUUGCACGGCUGUCUUCAGUUAAUGUCGUGAGAUUUUGGUUAGUUCCAUUAAAUUAACGUAAACCCUUACUUUAUUUGUUUUUAUAAAGUAGUUCACCGCUAUAUUGGAU
rnacentral:rRNA from 1 species